GGGUUGUGAGGUUAAGCGACUAAGCGUACACGGUGGAUGCCUAGGCAGUCAGAGGCGAUGAAGGGCGUGCUAAUCUGCGAAAAGCGUCGGUAAGGUGAUAUGAACCGUUAUAACCGACGAUACCCGAAUGGGGAAACCCAGUGCAAUUCGUUGCACUAUUGCAUGGUGAAUACAUAGCCAUGCAAGGCGAACCGGGGGAACUGAAACAUCUAAGUACCCCGAGGAAAAGAAAUCAACCGAGAUUCCCCCAGUAGCGGCGAGCGAACGGGGAGGAGCCCAGAACCUGAAUCAGCAUAUGUGUUAGUGGAAGCGUCUGGAAAGUCGCACGGUACAGGGUGAUAGUCCCGUACACAAAAAUGCAUAUGUUGUGAGUUCGAUGAGUAGGGCGGGACACGUGACAUCCUGUCUGAAUAUGGGGGGACCAUCCUCCAAGGCUAAAUACUCCUGACUGACCGAUAGUGAACCAGUACCGUGAGGGAAAGGCGAAAAGAACCCCGGCGAGGGGAGUGAAAUAGAACCUGAAACCGUGUACGUACAAGCAGUGGGAGCACCUUCGUGGUGUGACUGCGUACCUUUUGUAUAAUGGGUCAGCGACUUAUAUUUUGUAGCAAGGUUAACCGAAUAGGGGAGCCGUAGGGAAACCGAGUCUUAACUGGGCGAAUAGUUGCAAGGUAUAGACCCGAAACCCGGUGAUCUAGCCAUGGGCAGGUUGAAGGUUGGGUAACACUAACUGGAGGACCGAACCGACUAAUGUUGAAAAAUUAGCGGAUGACUUGUGGCUGGGGGUGAAAGGCCAAUCAAACCGGGAGAUAGCUGGUUCUCCCCGAAAGCUAUUUAGGUAGCGCCUCGUGAACUCAUCUUCGGGGGUAGAGCACUGUUUCGGCUAGGGGGUCAUCCCGACUUACCAAACCGAUGCAAACUCCGAAUACCGAAGAAUGUUAUCACGGGAGACACACGGCGGGUGCUAACGUCCGUCGUGAAGAGGGAAACAACCCAGACCGCCAGCUAAGGUCCCAAAGUCAUGGUUAAGUGGGAAACGAUGUGGGAAGGCAUAGACAGCCAGGAUGUUGGCUUAGAAGCAGCCAUCAUUUAAAGAAAGCGUAAUAGCUCACUGGUCGAGUCGGCCUGCGCGGAAGAUGUAACGGGGCUAAACCAUGCACCGAAGCUGCGGCAGCGACACUUAGGUGUUGUUGGGUAGGGGAGCGUUCUGUAAGCCGUUGAAGGUGACCUGUGAGGGUUGCUGGAGGUAUCAGAAGUGCGAAUGCUGACAUAAGUAACGAUAAUGCGGGUGAAAAACCCGCACGCCGGAAGACCAAGGGUUCCUGUCCAACGUUAAUCGGGGCAGGGUGAGUCGACCCCUAAGGCGAGGCUGAAAAGCGUAGUCGAUGGGAAACAGGUUAAUAUUCCUGUACUUGGUGUUACUGCGAAGGGGGGACGGAGAAGGCUAGGCUAGCCGGGCGACGGUUGUCCCGGUUUAAGCAUGUAGGCGGAGUGACUUGGUAAAUCCGGUUGCUUAUCAACGCUGAGGUGUGAUGACGAGUCACUACGGUGAUGAAGUAGUUGAUGCCAAGCUUCCAGGAAAAGCCUCUAAGCAUCAGGUAACAUUAAAUCGUACCCCAAACCGACACAGGUGGUCAGGUAGAGAAUACUCAGGCGCUUGAGAGAACUCGGGUGAAGGAACUAGGCAAAAUGGUGCCGUAACUUCGGGAGAAGGCACGCUGGCAUUAGGUAAAGAGACUUGCUCUCGGCGCCGAAGCCAGUCGCAGAUACCAGCUGGCUGCAACUGUUUAAUAAAAACACAGCACUGUGCAAACACGAAAGUGGACGUAUACGGUGUGACGCCUGCCCGGUGCUGGAAGGUUAAUUGAUGGGGUCAGCCGCAAGGCGAAGCUCUUGAUCGAAGCCCCAGUAAACGGCGGCCGUAACUAUAACGGUCCUAAGGUAGCGAAAUUCCUUGUCGGGUAAGUUCCGACCUGCACGAAUGGCGUAAUGAUGGCCAGGCUGUCUCCACCCGAGACUCAGUGAAAUUGAACUCGCUGUGAAGAUGCAGUGUACCCGCGGCAAGACGGAAAGACCCCGUGAACCUUUACUAUAGCUUGACACUGAACAUUGAGCCUUGAUGUGUAGGAUAGGUGGGAGGCAUUGAAGUGUGGACGCCAGUCUGCAUGGAGCCAACCUUGAAAUACCACCCUUUAAUGUUUGAUGUUCUAACUCGGCCCCGUGAUCCGGGGUGAGGACAGUGUCUGGUGGGUAGUUUGACUGGGGCGGUCUCCUCCCAAAGAGUAACGGAGGAGCACGAAGGUUAGCUAAUCACGGUCGGACAUCGUGAGGUUAGUGCAAAGGCAUAAGCUAGCUUGACUGCGAGAGUGACGGCUCGAGCAGGUACGAAAGUAGGUCUUAGUGAUCCGGUGGUUCUGAAUGGAAGGGCCAUCGCUCAACGGAUAAAAGGUACUCCGGGGAUAACAGGCUGAUACCGCCCAAGAGUUCAUAUCGACGGCGGUGUUUGGCACCUCGAUGUCGGCUCAUCACAUCCUGGGGCUGAAGUAGGUCCCAAGGGUAUGGCUGUUCGCCAUUUAAAGUGGUACGCGAGCUGGGUUUAGAACGUCGUGAGACAGUUCGGUCCCUAUCUGCCGUGGGCGUUGGAAGAUUGAGAGGGGCUGCUCCUAGUACGAGAGGACCGGAGUGGACGAAUCACUGGUGUUCGGGUUGUCAUGCCAAUGGCAUUGCCCGGUAGCUAAAUUCGGAAGAGAUAACCGCUGAAAGCAUCUAAGCGGGAAACUUGCCUCGAGAUGAGUCUUCCCUGGGGCUUUAAGCCCCCUGAAGGAACGUUAAAGACUAUGACGUUGAUAGGCUGGGUGUGUAAGUGCAGCGAUGCAUUGAGCUAACCAGUACUAAUGAUCCGUGAGGCUUAACCUUACAACACCGAAGGUGUUU
rnacentral:rRNA from 1 species